rnacentral:rRNA from 1 species
UACGUAGGGGGCUAGCGUUGUCCGGAAUCAUUGGGCGUAAAGCGCGUGUAGGCGGUCCGGUAAGUCCGCUGUGAAAGUCGGGGGCUCAACCCUCGAAUGCCGGUGGAUACUGUCGGGCUAGAGUGCGGAAGAGGCGAGUGGAAUUCCUGGUGUAGCGGUGAAAUGCGCAGAUAUCAGGAGGAACACCAAUUGCGAAGGCAGCUCGCUGGGACGUAACUGACGCUGAGACGCGAAAGCGUGGGGAGCAAACAGGAUUAGAACCGUACCGAC